rnacentral:rRNA from 1 species
GAGCCUUUCGGGGUGGAUUAGUGGCAGAACGGGUGAGUAACACGUGGGCAAUCUGCCCUUCACUCUGGGACAAGCCCUGGAAACGGGGUCUAAUACCGGAUAACACUCUGUCCUGCAUGGGACGGGGUUAAAAGCUCCGGCGGUGAAGGAUGAGCCCGCGGCCUAUCAGCUUGUUGGUGGGGUAAUGGCCUACCAAGGCGACGACGGGUAGCCGGCCUGAGAGGGCGACCGGCCACACUGGGACUGAGACACGGCCCAGACUCCUACGGGAGGCAGCAGUGGGGAAUAUUGCACAAUGGGCGAAAGCCUGAUGCAGCGACGCCGCGUGAGGGAUGACGGCCUUCGGGUUGUAAACCUCUUUCAGCAGGGAAGAAGCGAAAGUGACGGUACCUGCAGAAGAAGCGCCGGCUAACUACGUGCCAGCAGCCGCGGUAAUACGUAGGGCGCAAGCGUUGUCCGGAAUUAUUGGGCGUAAAGAGCUCGUAGGCGGCUUGUCACGUCGGAUGUGAAAGCCCGGGGCUUAACCCCGGGUCUGCAUUCGAUACGGGCUAGCUAGAGUGUGGUAGGGGAGAUCGGAAUUCCUGGUGUAGCGGUGAAAUGCGCAGAUAUCAGGAGGAACACCGGUGGCGAAGGCGGAUCUCUGGGCCAUUACUGACGCUGAGGAGCGAAAGCGUGGGGAGCGAACAGGAUUAGAUACCCUGGUAGUCCACGCCGUAAACGUUGGGAACUAGGUGUUGGCGACAUUCCACGUCGUCGGUGCCGCAGCUAACGCAUUAAGUUCCCCGCCUGGGGAGUACGGGCCGCAAGGCUAAAACUCAAAGGAAUUGACGGGGGCCCGC